GAAUUCGCCCUUAGAGUUUGAUCCUGGCUCAGGAUGAACGCUGGCGGCGCGCCUAACACAUGCAAGUCGAACGGUUAAAGCACCUUCGGGUGUGUAUAAAGUGGCGAACGGCUGAGUAACACGUGGGCAACCUGCCCCUCGCACCGGGAUAGCCUCGGGAAACCGUGGUUAAUACCGGAUACUCCGGGACCCCCGCAUGGGGGUGCCGGGAAAGCCCUGACGGCGAGGGAUGGGCCCGCGGCCUGUUAGCUUGUUGGCGGGGUAACGGCCCACCAAGGCGAUUAUGGGUAGCCGGGUUGAGAGACCGACCGGCCAGAUUGGGACUGAGACACGGCCCAGACUCCUACGGGAGGCAGCAGUGGGGAAUCUUGCACAAUGGGCGAAAGCCUGAUGCAGCGACGCCGCGUGCGGGACGAAGGCCUUCGGGUUGUAAACCGCUUUCAGCAGGGACGAGGCCGCAAGGUGACGGUACCUGCAGAAGAAGCCCCGGCUAACUACGUGCCAGCAGCCGCGGUAAUACGUAGGGGGCGAGCGUUAUCCGGAUUUAUUGGGCGUAAAGGGUGCGCAGGCGGCCUGCCAAGUUCGAGGUGAAAGCGUUGGGCUCAACCCAAUACAGCUUCGAAUACUGGCAGGCUCGAGUGCAGGAGAGGAUGUCGGAAUUCCAUGUGUAGCGGUAAAAUGCGUAGAUAUAUGGAGGAACACCAGCGGCGAAGGCGGACAUCUGGCCUGCAACUGACGCUGAGGCACGAAAGCGUGGGGAGCAAAUAGGAUUAGAUACCCUAGUAGUCCACGCCCUAAACGAUGAGAACUAGGUGUUGGAGCGAUCCAGUGCUGCAGCUAACGCAAUAAGUUCUCCGCCUGAGGAGUAUGCACGCAAGUGUGAAACUUAAAGGAAUUGACGGGGCCCCGCACAAGCGGUGGAGUAUGCGGUUUAAUUCGACGCAACGCGAAGAACCUUACCAGGCCUUGACAUCCCCUGCAAAUCCAUGGAGACAUGGCAGGAGGCCAUCAGGGUGACAGGUGGUGCAUGGUUGUCGUCAGCUCGUGUCGUGAGAUGUUGGGUUAAGUCCCGCAACGAGCGCAACCCCUGUCUUCAGUUACCAUCAUUCGGUUGGGGACUCUGGAGAGACUGCCGGUGACAAACCGGAGGAAGGUGGGGAUGACGUCAAAUCAUCAUGCCCCUUAUGUCUAGGGCUACACACGUGCUACAAUGGCAAGUACAAAGAGAAGCAAGACCGUGAGGUGGAGCAAAACUCAAAAACUUGUCUCAGUUCGGAUUGUAGGCUGAAACUCGCCUACAUGAAGCUGGAGUUGCUAGUAAUCGCGAAUCAGCAUGUCGCGGUGAAUACGUUCCCGGGCCUUGUACUCACCGCCCGUCA
rnacentral:rRNA from 1 species